GACGAACGCUGGCGGCGUGCCUAAUACAUGCAAGUCGAACGAGAGCGCCCUGUGCUUUCACUGUUCAAUCUAGUGGCGAACGGGUGAGUAAGACGUGCGUCACCUGCUCCUCUUACGGGGAUAACAUCCGGGAACGGCUGCCACAACCACAUCGUUCUUCCUACGGCUUGGCUCAGAGGGUCAUCGAGCCUUGCGCUUCUGCUGGUGCCUAUACCCGCGUUGCAUUAGCUAGUUGGUGAGGUAACGGCUCACCAAGGCCGUGAUGCAUAGCCGAUCUGAGAGGGUGAUCGGCCACAUUGGAACUGAGACACGGUCCAGACUCCUACGGGAGGCAGCAGUAGGGAAUCUUGCGCAAUGGGCGCAAGUCUGACGGAGCAACGCCGCGUGAGUGAAGAAGGUUUUCGGAUCGUAAAGCUCUGUUGUUAGGGAAGAACAAGUGCUAGAGUAAAUGUUAGCGCCUUGACGGUAUCUAACGAGAAAGCCACGGCUAACUACGUG
rnacentral:rRNA from 1 species